rnacentral:rRNA from 1 species
CCUACGGGGGGCUGCAGUGGGGAAUAUUGCACAAUGGGCGGAAGCCUGAUGCAGCAACACCGCGUGAGGGACGACGGCCUUCGGGUUGUAAACCUCUUUUAGCAAGGAAGAAGCGAAAGUGACGGUACUUGCAGAAAAAGCGCCGGCUAACUACGUGCCAGCAGCCGCGGUAAUACGUAGGGCGCAAGCGUUAUCCGGAAUUAUUGGGCGUAAAGAGCUCGUAGGCGGUUUGUCGCGUCUGCUGUGAAAACCCGAGGCUCAACCUCGGGCCUGCAGUGGGUACGGGCAGACUAGAGUGCGGUAGGGGAGAUUGGAAUUCCUGGUGUAGCGGUGGAAUGCGCAGAUAUCAGGAGGAACACCGAUGGCGAAGGCAGAUCUCUGGGCCGUAACUGACGCUGAGGAGCGAAAGGGUGGGGAGCAAACAGGAUUAGAUACCCUUGUAGUC